GAUGAACGCUGGCGGCGUGCCUAACACAUGCAAGUCGAACGGAAAGGUCCGGCUUUUGCGGGUUGCUCGAUUGGCGAACAGGUGAGUAACACGUGAGUAACCUGUCCUUGACAGUGGGAUAACUUUAGGAAAAUGGGGCGCAUACCGGGUAGGAGCUCCGGCUGCAUGGUGUGGUAUGGAAAGAUUCGGCGGUUGUGGAUGGACUAGAGGCUUAUGAGCUUGUUGGUGGGGUAGUGGUUUACCAAGGGUUUGAAGGGUAGCCCGCCUGAGAGGGUGACCGGCGACAUUGGGACUGAGAUAGGGACCAGACUGCUACGGGAGGCAGCAGUGGGGAAUAUUGCACAAUGGGCGGAAGUCUGAUGCAGCAACGUCGGGUGCGGGAUGACGGCCUAUGGGUUAUAAACCGCUUUCGACUGUGACGAAGCGUUAGUGACGGUAAUGGGUAAGGAAGCAACGGCUAACUACGUG
rnacentral:rRNA from 1 species